rnacentral:tRNA from 1 species
GUCCCCUUCGUCUAGAGGCCGUGACACCGCCCCUUUCAUGGCGGUAACAGGGGGGUUCGAAUCCCCUAGGGGACGCCA